UACGAAGGGGGCUAGCAUUGCUCGGAAUCACUGGGCGUAAAGCGCACGUAGGCGGGUUGUUAAGUCAGAGGUGAAAUCCUGGAGCUCAACUCCAGAACUGCCUUUGAUACUGGCGACCUUGAGUUCGAGAGAGGUUGGUGGAACUGCGAGUGUAGAGGUGAAAUUCGUAGAUAUUCGCAAGAACACCAGUGGCGAAGGCGGCCAACUGGCUCGAUACUGACGCUGAGGUGCGAAAGCGUGGGGAGCGAACAGG
rnacentral:rRNA from 1 species